AGUGGCGGACGGGUGAGUAACGCGUGAGGAACCUGCCCUUCAGUGGGGAACAACAACUAGAAAUGGUUGCUAAUACCGCAUAAUGUCGGAUUGACCGCAUGACAGACCGACCAAAGGAUUUAUUCGCUGAAGGAUGGCCUCGCGUCCGAUUAGAUAGUUGGUGAGGUAACGGCCCACCCAAGUCUACGAUCGGUAGCCGAACUGAGAGGUUGAUCGGCCACAUUGGGACUGAGACACGGCCCAGACUCCUACGGGAGGCAGCAGUGGGGAAUAUUGGGCAAUGGGCGAAAGCCCUGACCCAGCAACGCCGCGUGAAGGAUGACGGUCUUCGGAUUGUAAACUUCUUUAAUUGGGGAAGAAUAAAUGACCUACCCAAAGAAUAAGUCACGGCUAACUACGUGCCAGCCGCUGC
rnacentral:rRNA from 1 species